rnacentral:rRNA from 1 species
AUUGAACGCUGGCGGCAGGCCUAACACAUGCAAUUCGAGCGGUUGAAGUUAUCUUUCUCCUGUUUUCAUCUUCGGACUGUUGUUUAUUUCCUAUUUAUCUCCCUGUUUUUUUUUUAUAACUUCCUUAAACGGGCCCUAUUACCCCAUUCUUCCUUUUGUAUAACUUGUUGGUUCUUCGGACCUCCCCCUUUCUUUUGUUCCUAUGUCGUAUUAGCUAUUUGGUUGGGUAAAGGCCUACCAAGGCUACGAUCCGUAACUGGUCUGAGAGGAUGAUCAGUCACACUGGAACUGAGACACGGUCCAGACUACUACGGGAGGCAGCAGUGGGGAAUAUUGGACAAUGGGCGAAAGCAUGAUCCAGAAAUGCCGAGUGUGUGAAGAAGGUCUUCGGAUUGUAAAGAAAUUUAAGUUGGGAGGAAGGGAAGUAAGUUAAUAACUUGCUGUUUUGACGUUAACAAAAGAAUAAGCACCGGCUAACUUCGUG